CCUACGGGUGGCUGCAGUGAGGAAUAUUGGUCAAUGGACGAGAGUCUGAACCAGCCAAGUAGCGUGAAGGAUGACUGCCCUAUGGGUUGUAAACUUCUUUUAUAUGGGAAUAAAACGUUCCACGUGUGGGAUUUUGUAUGUCCCAUAUGAAUCAGGAUCGACUAACUCCGUGUCAGCAGCCGCGGUAAUACGGAGGAUCCGGGCGUUAUGCGGAUUUAUUGGGUUUAACGGGAGCGGAGAUGGAUUGUUAAGUCAGUUGUGAAAGUUUGCGGCUCAACCGUAAAAGUGCAGUUGAAACUGGCAGUAUUGAGUACAGUAGAGGUGAGCGGAAUUCGUGGUGUAGCGGGGAAAUGCUUAGAUAUCACGAAGAACUCCGAUUGCGAAGGCAGUUCACUGGACUGCAACUGACACUGAGGCUCGAAAGUGUGGGUAUCAAACAGGAUUAGAUACCCUUGUAGUC
rnacentral:rRNA from 1 species